AUUGAACGCUGGCGGCAGGCCUAACACAUGCAAGUCGAACGAGUGGCGGACGGGUGAGUAAUGUCUGGGAAACUGCCUGAUGGAGGGGAAUAACUACUGGAAACGGUAGCUAAUACCGCAUACCAUCGGAUGUGCCCAGAUGGGAUUAGCUAGUAGGUGGGGUAACGGCUCACCUAGGCGACGAGCCCUAGCUGGUCUGAGGGGAUGACCAUACACCUGGGAACGGAGACACGGUCCAGACUCCUACGGGAGGCAGCAGUGGGGAAUAUUGCACAAGGGGCGCAAGCCUGAUGCAGCCAUGCCGCUGGUAUGAAGAAGGCCUUCGGGUUGUAAAGUACUUUCAGCGGGGAGGCGUUACCCGCAGAAGAAGCAACGGCUAACUCCGUGCCAGCAGCCGCGGUAAUAC
rnacentral:rRNA from 1 species